rnacentral:rRNA from 1 species
GGCCAGACUCCUACGGGAGGCAGCAGUGGGGAAUAUUGCACAAUGGGGGAAACCCUGAUGCAGCGACGCCGCGUGAGCGAUGAAGUAUUUCGGUAUGUAAAGCUCUAUCAGCAGGGAAGAAGAUGACGGUACCUGACUAAGAAGCCCCGGCUAACUACGUGCCAGCAGCCGCGGUAAUACGUAGGGGGCAAGCGUUAUCCGGAUUUACUGGGUGUAAAGGGAGCGUAGACGGCGAUGCAAGCCAGAUGUGAAAGCCCGGGGCCCAACCCCGGGACUGCCCUUGGAACUGUGCGGCUAGAGUGCGGGAGGGGCAGGCGGAAUUCCUGGUGUAGCGGUGAAAUGCGUAGAUAUCAGGAGGAACACCGGCGGCGAAGGCGGCCUGCUGGACCGCGACUGACGUUGAGGCCCGAAAGCGUGGGGAGCAAACAGGAUUAGAUACCCCGGUAAG